CAGGGCGGGACAGGGAGGGGGGCUACUCUAGAAGCCCUCACCAGGUCCCCCCUCAGGUGCUCCCCACCCAGCCUGGGCCGUGCAGGGCUCAGGGCAGGGCAGGCAGAGGGGGGGCU